AACGAACGCUGGCGGCAGGCUUAACACAUGCAAGUCGAGCGCCCCGCAAGGGGAGCGGCAGACGGGUGAGUAACGCGUGGGAAUCUACCCAUCUCUACGGAAUAACGCAUGGAAACGUGUGCUAAUACCGUAUACGUCCUUCGGGAGAAGGAUUUAUCGGAGAUGGAUGAGCCCGCGUUGGAUUAGCUAGUUGGUGGGGUAAAGGCCUACCAAGGCGACGAUCCAUAGCUGGUCUGAGAGGAUGAUCAGCCACACUGGGACUGAGACACGGCCCAGACUCCUACGGGAGGCAGCAGUGGGGAAUAUUGGACAAUGGGCGCAAGCCUGAUCCAGCCAUGCCGCGUGAGUGAUGAAGGCCCUAGGGUUGUAAAGCUCCUUCACCGGUGAAGAUAAUGACGGUAACGGGAGAAGAAGCCCCGGCUAACUUCGUGCCAGCCGCCGCGGUAACAC
rnacentral:rRNA from 1 species